rnacentral:rRNA from 1 species
UACGGAGGGUGCAAGCGUUAUCCGGAAUCACUGGGUUUAAAGGGUGCGUAGGCGGCUUGGUAAGUCAGAGGUGAAAGCCCGCAGCUCAACUGCGGAACUGCCUUUGAUACUGCUGAGCUUGAAAGAGGACGAGGUUGGCGGAAUGUGGCAUGUAGCGGUGAAAUGCAUAGAUAUGCCAUAGAACACCGAUUGCGAAGGCAGCUGACUAGACCUGCUUUGACGCUGAGGCACGAAAGCGUGGGGAGCGAACAGG